rnacentral:tRNA from 1 species
GGUAAGAUGGCUGAGUGUUAAGCGGUGGAUUGUAGACCCAUGGACGGAGGUUCAACCCCUCCUCUUGCCA